AUUAAAACAAUCAACUUCAGUAACUAAUUUUCAUGUUGCAUUUUUUUCUUUAUGCAGGAAGUGCAACAAAAUUGCUGUCUUCUGUCAAACACCUACAGAGGAUACCUCUUGUGCAAUGCACUACCGAGUUUUGGUAAGCAGAGGUACAGAAUUUGACAGCAAUGACCUUCUAUUGCAACAUACCAG
rnacentral:lncRNA from 12 species